rnacentral:rRNA from 1 species
ACUCCUACGGGAGGCAGCAGUCGGGAAUAUUGGACAAUGGGCGAAAGCCUGAUCCAGCAAUACCGCGUGUGUGAAGAAGGCCUGCGGGUUGUAAAGCACUUUCAGUUGGGAAGAUAAUGACGUUACCAACAGAAGAAGCACCGGCUAACUCCGUGCCAGCAGCCGCGGUAAUACGGAGGGUGCAAGCGUUAAUCGGAAUUACUGGGCGUAAAGCGCACGUAGGCGGUUUACUAAGUCGGAUGUGAAAUCCCCGGGCUCAACCUGGGAACUGCACCCGAUACUGGUAGACUAGAAUUUGGGAGAGGUGAGUGGAAUUUCCGGUGUAGCGGUGAAAUGCAUAGAGAUCGGAAGGAACACCAGUGGCGAAGGCGACUCACUGGACCAAAAUUGACGCUGAGGUGCGAAAGCGUGGGUAGCAAACAGGAUUAGAUACCCUGGUAGGCUCUGC